UGUUCGUUCGUAGGUAAAAAGACGACUCUACCCUCAUUUGGAUUUUUUUUACGCCUCUGCCACUGACCUCUUUUUUUUCCUUCUUCUCUCUUCCUCCAGAAGCCUCCUAGACCGACUUUUUUGCUCUCUUCUCUUCUCCGGGUUUUGGCCUCACUUUUUUUUCUUAACUAUGGCUCUGCGAUUCAGUCGUUCUUGAAUCCUCUCCUUUUUGGGUUUUUUUGCUCGACGCAGAGAGAGAAGAAUGGAGAGAAAAGGAGAGUUUGUUUUCGCUGUGCCCAGAAUAGCCCAAUUGUUAUUGCUGAUGAAAAACAUCCCCGGAGAUUGGGGUUUUGUUUACUGCAUCUCUUAUGGCGAUCUGGAGGCUUCAGCAAAAGAAGAAGGGGUUUUAUUUUCAGCAAAAGCAAACUUCCAGUAUUUUGCAAUUGUGUAGAUACUUUUCAUGAAGUGAAGAGCAAACGUGAAAGAAGGAAAGAAGACAAAGCUUUGACAAUGCAAUUGUUGGCUGUGGCAUGUUUGUCCCAUGCAGCCAAAAUGGAGGAGAUUAAUGUCCCAAUCUCCCUUGAUUUACAGGAAUUGACUUCUUGGAAUUUAAACCUUCAGAGUUUGCAGCAGCAGUGACCAUUUCUGUAACGGGAGGAAGCAUAGCAUUAGAUUACACUUAUUAGAAUUCAAUCUCGCUUAUCAAUGGUGAUUUGGAUGAAGCAAGGAAAGAGCAAAAGUCAAAACUUUGAACAUCAAAGACAAGAUAAUGUUGACUGGCAAGAGACUCCAGUUGGAGGUUGGACCUAUUGUUGGACUUGAUCAAUAUGUCAACUACUUCAAAAUUCAGCUGAGGAUACAACAGAGGAUUAAAAGCGCAGAGCUCAGGAUGUUAACUGAGGAGCAAGGAAAUGAACUUCCGAACUUUACACCAUUCAUUCCAUUGAUGUCUCCCUUGUUGUAGUGAAGUUGAUCCCAUAGUAGCAUCCUUCUCCGCAGGAGCAGUUGGACUGAUCUCAGCACUGAUGAUGGUUGAAAUAAUAAGCAAAACACUGCAGGAGCAUCAGAGAUGUAAAUAUUAUCUUGGAACUGCUUAUAGCUCAUCUUCUGAUGCAAUGACUAUAAUCCAACAAAGAUCUCCUGUUGUUAAGCAAUCUCCACCAUCGCGUUGCCGUGACCACCACGGUCAUUUGCCACGUCAUCACCAACUCGAUUUGGCUCUCACUGGACCAGCUUCUCAACUAUGCGCUAAUCUACAUCACCAAUCCGUCGCCGUUUUGGAGUAUGGAAGAUGAUAUAGAAGAGUUCUCUUCUCCCGAAGAUACUAUCAAGCUAUUGUUCAGGUCACUAUGCAAUCUGCAAUGCAAGAAGUUAUGAGUCUUUUGGUAGACAGGUCCAAUUUUGGGGAUACUUUUAGUCCCAAUCUCAUUUAGUUGCAGUUGACUGAUUGUUCAGAUUGUAAGCUUCUUUUUUUGCUUCUCUCUGUAUGUGGUCUGUACUUGAGCAAGAUAAGAGUCAGUGAACACCAUAAAUUAUAUGUUUAUUUCAAAGUUUGCCAAAUUUGUAGCAGAUGUGCGUCGGUCAACACAAUAUCAAACAUCCUGUAGUAUUCCUAAAGUCCCAUUGCAUGGAAGUGGAGUUUUAACUUCUCAAUCAUCCUACCAUAGCAUUGGAAGAAAAAAGAAUCAUAUUUCAGAUGUUCCAGCUUCUGUGGUCUGUGCUUGGUCGUCAUUGGUAUACAGUCCCUGGUGGAAGGAAGGUUUAUGUUGGUAAAACUAGGCAGGAGUUGACAGGUCAAACAGCCCACAGACUAUGCUCAAAGGAAAGUUGAAACAGCAUGUGAAGGCCAGAAGAAGGAAAGC